rnacentral:rRNA from 1 species
CCUACGGGGGGCAGCAAUGAGGAAUAUUGGUCAAUGGGCGCGAGCCUGAACCAGCCAAGUAGCGUGAAGGAUGACUGCCCUACGGGUUGUAAACUUCUUUUAUAAAGGAAUAAAGUGAGGCACGUGUGCCUUUUUGUAUGUACUUUAUGAAUAAGGAUCGGCUAACUCCGUGCCAGCAGCCGCGGUAAUACGGAGGAUCCGAGCGUUAUCCGGAUUUAUUGGGUUUAAAGGGAGCGUAGAUGGGUUGUUAAGUCAGUUGUGAAAGUUUGCGGCUCAACCGUAAAAUUGCAAUUGAUACUGGCGGUCUUGAGUACAGUUGAGGUAGGCGGAAUUCGUGGUGUAGCGGUGAAAUGCUUAGAUAUCACGAAGAACUCCGAUUGCGAAGGCAGCUUACUAAACUGCCACUGACAUUGAUGCUCGAAAGUGUGGGUAUCAAACAGGAUUAGAUACCCCGGUAGUC